rnacentral:misc_RNA from 1 species
AAGUCGUAACAAGGUUUCCGUAGGUGAACCUGCGGAAGGAUCAUUACAUUCAGUAGCUUGCUACUGUUAGGGGGGUCCAUUAGUCUGUAUAGUAUCACUACUGAUGAGCAGCACGACUCCCUGUCUAUACCCUUGUCUUUUGCGCACUCAUGUUUCCUCGGCGGCUUGAUACCCGCCGGCUGGAUCAAUCUAUAACCUUUUUAAUUUUCAAUCAGCGUCUGAAAAAACCUAAUAAUUACAACUUUCAACAACGGAUCUCUUGGUUCUG